AUACCUUUCUCGGCCUUUUGGCUAAGAUCAAGUGUAGUAUCUGUUCUUAUCAGUUUAAUAUCUAAUAUGUGGACCAAUGGUUCACACGAUAUUAAAUUACUUUUUUGAGGGGGGGAGGCCACUUUGGUAGCUUGCUACUAGGCUUCUCGUGUGUUGUCAAUGUGUUGCACUAUAGCAUUGGUCUGGUGCACCCCACCAAUUCAAGUUUAAAUUUUUAUUCUGGUUCAUAUCUGGCAAUGGUUACCGUGUUCAUAUCAUUAUCAUAAUCCUUUCCUGCCAAAUAAUCGCUAUAUGGUAUGUAGUUCGUAUUGGCUUGGC
rnacentral:snRNA from 1 species